rnacentral:rRNA from 1 species
AGAGUUUGAUCAUGGCUCAGAUUGAACGCUGGCGGCAGGCCUAACACAUGCAAGUCGAACGGUAACAGGAAGAAGCUUGCUUCUUUGCUGACGAGUGGCGGACGGGUGAGUAAUGUCUGGGAAACUGCCUGAUGGAGGGGGAUAACUACUGGAAACGGUAGCUAAUACCGCAUAACGUCGCAAGACCAAAGAGGGGGACCUUCGGGCCUCUUGCCAUCGGAUGUGCCCAGAUGGGAUUAGCUAGUAGGUGGGGUAACGGCUCACCUAGGCGACGAUCCCUAGCUGGUCUGAGAGGAUGACCAGCCACACUGGAACUGAGACACGGUCCAGACUCCUACGGGAGGCAGCAGUGGGGAAUAUUGCACAAUGGGCGCAAGCCUGAUGCAGCCAUGCCGCGUGUAUGAAGAAGGCCUUCGGGUUGUAAAGUACUUUCAGCGGGGAGGAAGGGAGUAAAGUUAAUACCUUUGCUCAUUGACGUUACCCGCAGAAAAAGCACCGGCUAACUCCGUGCCAGCAGCCGCGGUAAUACGGAGGGUGCAAGCGUUAAUCGGAAUUACUGGGCGUAAAGCGCACGCAGGCGGUUUGUUAAGUCAGAUGUGAAAUCCCCGGGCUCAACCUGGGAACUGCAUCUGAUACUGGCAAGCUUGAGUCUCGUAGAGGGGGGUAGAAUUCCAGGUGUAGCGGUGAAAUGCGUAGAGAUCUGGAGGAAUACCGGUGGCGAAGGCGGCCCCCUGGACGAAGACUGACGCUCAGGUGCGAAAACGUGGGGAGCAAACAGGAUUAGAUACCCUGGUAGUCCACGCCGUAAACGAUGUCGACUUGGAGGUUGUGCCCUUGAGGCGUGGCUUCCGGAGCUAACGCGUUAAGUCGACCGCCUGGGGAGUACGGCCGCAAGGUUAAAACUCAAAUGAAUUGACGGGGGCCCGCACAAGCGGUGGAGCAUGUGGUUUAAUUCGAUGCAACGCGAAGAACCUUACCUGGUCUUGACAUCCACGGAAGUUUUCAGAGAUGAGAAUGUGCCUUCGGGAACCGUGAGACAGGUGCUGCAUGGCUGUCGUCAGCUCGUGUUGUGAAAUGUUGGGUUAAGUCCCGCAACGAGCGCAACCCUUAUCCUUUGUUGCCAGCGGUCCGGCCGGGAACUCAAAGGAGACUGCCGGUGAUAAACUGGGGGAAGGUGGGGAUGACGUCAAGUCAUCAUGGCCCUUACGACCAGGGCUACACACGUGCUACAAUGGCGCAUACAAAGAGAAGCGACCUCGCGAGAGCAAGCGGACCUCAUAAAGUGCGUCGUAGUCCGGAUUGGAGUCUGCAACUCGACUCCAUGAAGUCGGAAUCGCUAGUAAUCGUGGAUCAGAAUGCCACGGUGAAUACGUUCCCGGGCCUUGUACACACCGCCCGUCACACAUGGGAGUGGGUUGCAAAAGAAGUAGGUAGCUUAACCUUCGGGAGGGCGCUUACCACUUUGUGAUUCAUGACUGGGGUGAAGUCGUAACAAGGUAACCGUAGGGGAAC